rnacentral:rRNA from 1 species
AGUGAACGCUGGCGGUAGGCCUAACACAUGCAAGUCGAACGGCAGCACAGGAGAGCUUGCUCUCUGGGUGGCGAGUGGCGGACGGGUGAGGAAUACAUCGGAAUCUACUCUGUCGUGGGGGAUAACGUAGGGAAACUUACGCUAAUACCGCAUACGACCUACGGGUGAAAGCAGGGGAUCUUCGGACCUUGCGCGAUUGAAUGAGCCGAUGUCGGAUUAGCUAGUUGGCGGGGUAAAGGCCCACCAAGGCGACGAUCCGUAGCUGGUCUGAGAGGAUGAUCAGCCAGCCAGGGACUGAGACACGGUCGAGACUCCUACGGGAGGCAGCAGUGGGGAAUAUUGGACAAUGGGCGCAAGCCUGAUCCAGACAUACCGCGUGGGUGAAGAAGGCCUUCGGGUUGUAAAGCCCUUUUGUUGGGAAAGAAAUCCAGCUGGCUAAUACCCGGUUGGGAUGACGGUACCCAAAGAAUAAGCACCGGCUAACUUCGUGCCAGCCGCCGCCGUAA